UACAGAGGGAGCGAGCGUUGUUCGGAAUUACUGGGCGUAAAGGGCGCGUAGGCGGUCCGAUAAGUCCCGUGUGAAAUCCCUCGGCUCAACUGAGGAAUGGCACGGGAAACUGACGGGCUUGAGUUCGGGAGAGGGAAGCGGAAUUCCGGGUGUAGCGGUGAAAUGCGUAGAUAUCCGGAGGAACACCGGUGGCGAAGGCGGCUUCCUGGACCGACACUGACGCUGAGGCGCGAAGACUAGGGGAGCAAACGGG
rnacentral:rRNA from 1 species